UCCCAGACUCCUACGGGAGGCAGCAGUGGGGAAUAUUGCACAACGGGGGAAACCCUGAUGCAGCGACGCCGCGUGAGUGAAGAAGUAUUUCGGUAUGUAAAGCUCUAUCAGCAGGGAAGAAAAUGACGGUACCUGAUUAAGAAGCCCCGGCUAACUACGUGCCAGCAGCCGCGGUAAUACGUAGGGGGCAAGCGUUAUCCGGAUUUACUGGGUGUAAAGGGAGCGUAGACGGUGAUGCAAGUCAGAAGUGAAAGCCCGGGGCUCAACUCCGGGACUGCUUUUGAAACUGUGUAACUGGAGUGCAGGAGAGGUAAGCGGAAUUCCUGGUGUAGCGGUGAAAUGCGUAGAUAUCAGGAGGAACACCAGUGGCGAAGGCGGCUUACUGGACUGUAACUGACGUUGAGGCUCGAAAGCGUGGGGAGCAAACAGGAUUAGAUACCCCCGUAAU
rnacentral:rRNA from 1 species